GCAGUGAUAAAAGUUAAUAUAUAUUAUUUGAUUCUUUUUCUAUUUACUUAACUUUGAAAAUUCAAUUAUUACUUCAUUGAAUAUAUAAUGUCCAUCUCUCUUUGUUUACUUGUUUAUCAUUUUCAUUUUUAAUUAUUUUCAUAUAUCAAUAAAUUACGCGUUGGGUUGAGCUCGACUAACUAUAGGUUAUCUAACCCUAAAGAUUAUGGAUACAUUUCGAUUAACUUUUUAAGUACUCAAAACACUACAUUUUUUUUUUACCUAGAAGUCAAUCCAAGCUGGUUAAUUAGGAGAAGCACUUAGGAAGCAUAUAGUAACUAAUGUAGCUACGAGAGGAUGGUGUUUGUGCUAUAGACUACACUUAGAUACGUUACAUUCUUCGAGAUCGGGAUAUGUGAUGUGUCUUUGUUGUUAAUGAAAAACAAUGAAUGACAUUAUUUCGUUUUCUAUUUUGAGUUGAAUAAAUACGAAGGAAGAGAUUAAACAUUCAACUUUAUCUAAUAAGUAACAAAUUGUUGUGAAUUUUUUUAUUUAAAACAUAAAUGAAUGUGGUAAAGCAAUUUCGAUAAUGAGUAAAGCACUUGAAUCUUAUCUUAGUAAAGCCAAGGAGGAUGGGAUUAUUGCUGGAGUUAUAGGACUUGGAGGCAGUGGAGGGACGUCUCUGAUAUCCUUUGCGUUGAGACGUUGAAAGAUUCUUGUGAUUCCAAUGGAAAACAACAGUGGGUUUAACAAUGUUUGGGGUUACGACUCCCUGUGUCAAUGCUGUUAAAGAAAUAUUGCUUAAAGAAGGAUACGAAAUCCUUGUUUUUCAUGCUACUGGGGUUGGGGGGAAGGCAAUGGAAUCUCUGGUCAAAGAGGGAUUUAUACAGGGAGUCUUGGACAUCACCACCAUAGAGGUCGCAGACUACUUAAUUGGAGGUGUCAUGGCUUGUGGCAGUACUCGCUUUGAUGCCAUUAUAGAGAAGAGGAUCCCAUUAGUUCUAAGUGUAGGAGCAGUGGAUAUGGUGUCAAGGUCAAAGAGACUUCAAAGUUAGGACCUCGCCCAGAGAAGCCUAUUGAGAUAUAUGAGUUUGAGAGUUGUCCAUUUUGUCGGAAGGGAGUUAUCACUAAACAAAUGACUGCAAUAGAAGAAAUGGUUGCAAGUGAGUACAAUUAGCCAGACCCUCAUCUUUGUGACAAGAUCUUGAAGUUGGUCAUUUGUGAAGCAUUCUACUUUGCUAUUAGUUGCAGUUUUAGUUAUUGCUCUCUCAAUAUAUUCUUUUUCUUUCUUUCUUUCUUUUUUUCCAAAGAAUGAUCAGUGUAAUAAUUAAGCUUCAUAAUUUCUGUGUUUGGAUCCAAGUUGUAUAUAAAUGUCACAUUAUUAAGAUUUCAUUUUGUAUAUGUACAAGUAAAAGAUUUCAUUUUUAA